UAAAAAAUGUUUUAUUUGAAUGGUUUAAAAUAAGUGUUUUCUUCCAAUAUAACAUUCUGUGUUCUUGGCUUUAAAUUGUUUUCAGAAUCUGAAAAUUUUCACUCAAUACCAGGAAAUACUCUUCCUAUGCCUAACUAAUACAAGUACCCUUUCUAUUAGGUUUGACUUGCUAGUCAUCUAAAUGGACUCCUUAUAGGAAUUGCAAUAUCAUGGCAAAAGUAUUUUUUCUUUUACAUUUUGGUAACUGACCUAAAAAACAGACUUUAUAUUUCACCAAAAUGAUUUUUAUGUCACUGUUACUAAGUUUUGAUUUCCUUAGAAUAAAGUGAGAUUAUUAUUUUUAAUAAAGGCUAUUAUAUCCAUGUGACUUUCUAUAUUUGCUUUUAAAGUUCUUGUACCAUUUAGUUACAGGGCUUUGACUCCUGGGUCUAAAAUGACACCAACUCACGUUAAAUCUUCAACAGUGACUGCAGCUAAAGCGUCAUCUUCAGACUCAGUGGAAGAUGCUAAUCAAAAUAAAUGGCAUUUAUGAGACUCAGGGCCAUAAAUUAAAACUAUUCAAUUACUCAAGAUCCAGGGACUAUCAUGACAUCAUUGGAAACAGUAUUUGUUUUACCAAAUCUUUGACUGGAAUGGCAUACUUUCAGACUGCUUUAAGAAAUCAAAGUUCACUUAUAGAGCCAGUGAAAAACCCUCGGGAAAACCUGUUUUCUACUUUUCAUUGCAGUCCUUGUCCAGAGUUUCCUACCUGUGGGUUACUGCAACAAAGUGGCAACAGCAAAACCACUCAAGAACUGAAGAUUAUGGCAAAGCAAAGAAAAAAGAUCACAUAGACAC
rnacentral:lncRNA from 13 species